AUUGAACGCUGGCGGCAGGCUUAACACAUGCAAGUCGAGCGGAGAUGAGGUGCUUGCACCUUAUCUUAGCGGCGGACGGGUGAGUAAUGCUUAGGAAUCUGCCUAUUAGUGGGGGACAACAUUCCGAAAGGAAUGCUAAUACCGCAUACGUCCUACGGGAGAAAGCAGGGGAUCUUCGGACCUUGCGCUAUUGGAUAUGCCCAGGUGGGAUUAGCUAGUUGGUGAGGUAAUGGCUCACCAAGGCGACGAUCCCUAGCUGGUCUGAGAGGAUGAUCAGCCACACUGGAACUGAGACACGGUCCAGACUCCUACGGGAGGCAGCAGUGGGGAAUAUUGCACAAUGGGGGAAACCCUGAUCCAGCCAUGCCGCGUGUGUGAAGAAGGCCUUAUGGUUGUAAAGCACUUUAAGCGAGGAGGAGGCUACUUUAGUUAAUACCUAGAGAUAGUGGACGUUACUCGCAGAGUAAGCACCGGCUAACUCUGUGCCAGCCGCCGCGGUAAAAC
rnacentral:rRNA from 1 species